CACUGUUAGCCGUUGUUAGCUGUUGUUAGUUGUUUUUUGCUAUACCAGACUGGUGUAGCAAAAAAACAAUUAACAACAGCUAACAACGGCUAACAACGG